rfam:Spongiibacterium flavum strain DSM 22638 genome assembly, contig: Ga0070522_104
UAUCUUUGCACGCUGAUUGAGAGACGAUCAGGUACAUAAAAAUCAUUUAAAUAAAUAUUGGAAUG